GGACACGCUGGCGGCAUGCCUAAUACAUGCAAGUCGAACGCGGCCAUCCGGUGCUUGCACUGGUGAAGCCGAGUGGCGAACGGGUGAGUAACACGUGAGAAACCUGCCCUGGAGUGGGGAAUAACUCGAAGAAAUUCGAGCUAAUACCGCAUACCUUCUCUUCACCGCAUGGUGAGUUGAAGAAAGAUUUAUCGCUCUAGGAGGGUCUCGCGGCCUAUCAGCUAGUUGGUGAGGUAAUGGCUCACCAAGGCAUCGACGGGUAGCUGGUCUGAGAGGACGAUCAGCCACACUGGGACUGAGACACGGCCCAGACUCCUACGGGAGGCAGCAGUAGGGAAUCUUGCGCAAUGGGCGAAAGCCUGACGCAGCAAUGCCGCGUGCGGGACGAAGGCCCUAGGGUCGUAAACCGCUUUCAGUAGGGACGAAAAUAGACGGUACCUGCAGAAGAAGCUCCGGCCAACUACGUG
rnacentral:rRNA from 1 species